ACGAACGCUGGCGGCGUGCUUAACACAUGCAAGUCGAACGGAAAGGCCCUGCUUUUGUGGGGUGCUCGAGUGGCGAACGGGUGAGUAACACGUGAGUAACCUGCCCUUGACUUUGGGAUAACUUCAGGAAACUGGGGCUAAUACCGGAUAGGAGCUCCUGCUGCAUGGUGGGGGUUGGAAAGUUUCGGCGGUUGGGGAUGGACUCGCGGCUUAUAAGCUUGUUGGUGGGGUAGUGGCUUACCAAGGCUUUGACGGGUAGCCGGCCUGAGAGGGUGACCGGACACAUUGGGACUGAGAUACGGCCCAGACUCCUACGGGAGGCAGCAGUGGGGAAUAUUGCACAAUGGGCGGAAGCCUGAUGCAGCAACGCCGCGUGCGGGAUGACGGCCUUCGGGUUGUAAACCGCUUUCGCCUGUGACGAAGCGUGAGUGACGGUAAUGGGUAAAGAAGCACCGGCUAACUACGUG
rnacentral:rRNA from 1 species